AGCGAACGCUGGCGGCAGGCUUAACGCAUGCAAGUCGAACGCCCCGCAAGGGGAGUGGCAGACGGGUGAGGAACACGUGGGAAUGUACCCUUUGGCUCGGAAUAACUCAGGGAAACUUGAGCUAAUACCGAAUAAGCGCGAAAGCGGAAAGAUUUAUCGCCGAAGGAGCAGCCCGCGUCUGAUUAGCUUGUUGGUGAGGUAACGGCUCACCAAGGCGACGAUCAGUAGCUGGUCUGAGAGGAUGAUCAGCCACACUGGGACUGAGACACGGCCCAGACUCCUACGGGAGGCAGCAGUGGGGAAUAUUGGACAAUGGGCGCAAGCCUGAUCCAGCCAUGCCGCGUGAGUGAUGAAGGCCUUAGGGUUGUAAAGCUCUUUUGUCCGGGAAGAUAAUGACUGUACCGGAAGAAUAAGCCCCGGCUAACUUCGUGCCAGCAGCCGCGGUAACAC
rnacentral:rRNA from 1 species